GUUUCUGUAGUGUAGUGGUUAUCAUAUUUGCCUCACAUGCAUAAGAUCCCUGGUUUGUAACUGGGCAGACAACA
rfam:Tauraco erythrolophus contig98855, whole genome shotgun sequence.